rnacentral:rRNA from 1 species
UACGAAGGGGGCUAGCGUUGCUCGGAAUCACUGGGCGUAAAGGGUGCGUAGGCGGGUCUUUAAGUCAGAGGUGAAAUCCUGGAGCUCAACUCCAGAACUGCCUUUGAUACUGAGGAUCUUGAGUUCGGGAGAGGUGAGUGGAACUGCGAGUGUAGAGGUGAAAUUCGUAGAUAUUCGCAAGAACACCAGUGGCGAAGGCGGCUCACUGGCCCGGUACUGACGCUGAGGCACGAAAGCGUGGGGAGCAAACAGG